rnacentral:misc_RNA from 1 species
GAUGAAGAACGUAGCGAAAUGCGAUAAGUAAUGCGAAUUGCAGAAUCCGUGAGUCAUCGAAUCUUUGAACGCACAUUGCGCCCGUCAGUAUUCUGGCGGGCAUGCCUGUUCGAGCGUCAUUACGCCCCUCAAGUCCCCUGUGGACUUGGUGUUGGGGAUCGGCGAGGCUGGUUUCCAGCACAGCCGUCCCUUAAAUUAAUUGGCGGUCUCGCCGUGGCCCUCCUCUGCGCAGUAGUAAAACACUCGCAACAGGAGCCCGGCGCGGUCCACUGCCGUAAAACCCCCCAACUUUUUAUAGUUGACCUCGAAUCAGGUAGGACUACCCGCUGAACUUAAGCAUAUCAAUAAGCGGAGGA